AAGGCCCAGACAGCCAGGAGGUUGGCUUAGAAGCAGCCACCCUUUAAAGAAAGCGUAAUAGCUCACUGGUCGAGUCGGCUCGCGCGGAAGAUUUAACGGGGCUCAAACUGUUCACCGAAGCUACGGGGUUCAGUGGACAGUUGACAGUGGACAGUACACAGUUUGGUGAGUAUACAUGCAGGGUUUUGAGCAGUUGGAUGUAUUCAGGAAAGCGUAACGGGCUUCGCAGGAAGUUCAUAAGCUCACACUUGAAUAUACAAAGCAUGAACAAAUGCAUGGUCUUGCUGACCAAAUGCGGAGAGCCAGUAAAGGCAUAUGCGCAAAUGUUGCUGAAGGCUAUGGCAAAAUGAGUAUUUCAAAAGCUGAAUUUCGAAGGUUCUUAUUAAUGGCCAUCGGAUCAGCCGACGAAAUGCGGGUAUGGAUCAGAUACUCACUGGAUCUCGGAUACAUCGAGAAAAAUCAGUGGGAACACCUGAAAACCGAAUACCAGACAAUUGCCAAAAUGCUAACGAAUUUGCACAAAAGUCACCAAUGACUCAAGGCAAAACCGUCCACCGUCUACUGUCAACUGUCUACUGAACCGGUAGAGGAGCGUUCUGUAAGCGGUUGAAGGUGUGUUGAGAAGCAUGCUGGACGUAUCAGAAGUGCGAAUGCUGACAUGAGUAACGACAAGGGGAGUGAGAAGCUCCCCCGCCGGAAGACCAAGGG
rnacentral:rRNA from 1 species